rnacentral:rRNA from 1 species
UACGGAGGGCGCAAGCGUUGUUCGGAAUCAUUGGGCGUAAAGCGCGUGUAGGCGGCUUGGCAAGUCGAGUGUGAAAGCCCGGGGCUCAACCCCGGAAGGUCGCUCGAAACUGCCUCGCUAGAGUCCCGGAGAGGAAGGCGGAAUUCCCGGUGUAGAGGUGAAAUUCGUAGAUAUCGGGAGGAACACCAGCGGCGAAGGCGGCCUUCUGGACGGUGACUGACGCUGAGACGCGAAAGCGUGGGGAGCAAACAGG